rnacentral:rRNA from 1 species
AUGAACGCUGGCGGCGUGCCUAAUACAUGCAAGUCGAGCGAACGGACGAGAAGCUUGCUUCUCUGAUGUUAGCGGCGGACGGGUGAGUAACACGUGGAUAACCUACCUAUAAGACUGGGAUAACUUCGGGAAACCGUAGCUAAUACCGGAUAAUAUUUUGAACCGCAUGGUUCAAAAGUGAAAGACGGUCUUGCUGUCACUUAUAGAUGGAUCCGCGCUGCAUUAGCUAGUUGGUAAGGUAACGGCUUACCAAGGCAACGAUGCAUAGCCGACCUGAGAGGGGGAUCGGCCACACUGGAACUGAGACACCGUCCAGGCUCCCACGGGAGGCAGCAGGAGGGAAUCUUCCGCAAUGGGCGAAAGCCUGACGGAGCAACGCCGCGUGAGUGAUGAAGGUCUUCGGAUCGUAAAACUCUGUUAUUAGGGAAGAACAUAUGUGUAAGUAACUGUGCACAUCUUGACGGUACCUAAGCAGAAAGCCACGGCUAACUACGU